AACUACGCAUAUCUCAAACUUGAUUGCAUGUCAUUUUUUUUGGCAAAACUGUCUGGCAAAGUCAUAGUCAACAAUCAGCACUCAGCUUAAUAGGAAAUCCGUGUAACAUAGAACCAGAGUUUGAUUACACGCCAGAAAAUGACAAUUAGUGGAACAAAGAAUUUUCUUUAUUGUUAUGUAAGUGUUCUAGCGUACUCAUAGUUUAUUUGAACGUAUUGUGAUAAACAUAUUGUUAUUUAGUGUACUAAAAAGAAAAGGCAGCGGUGAGUUCUUCUCGCUCGUUCUCAAGACGGCGCAGCUCGAUCUCGAGCUCGUGAAGACGGCGGGUCAACUCCGUGAUGUUGGCGCGGGCAUCGUGCAACUCAUCUAUUCGCAUUCUCAGCAGGAACGAGCAUCGUUUGGCCCAGUUUCAAAAGUGCGACCGAAGAGACGUCGAGGUUUCACAGAAUGCUUUGCUGCGUGUCUAAAUAUAUCGCGUGCGUGGAGGAAGGCGGUGGCGGUCCGUGGACGCGGCCACUUGCGCGCGCUCGCCCGCUCUGUUCACCGGUGCAAUUGACUAAAAUAGACCAUGCGAAUAUCGGUGACGAGAACGAACCCGACCUCAAGUAACGAUAGGAAUCGAUUGUUAAAUGAUAGUUAAAUUUUUAAUUAAGAUUUCCUUUCUAUCGCUUAGAAAAGCUUUGUAUUCUGUCAAGCAAUGGAAAAUUUACGGACUGAUAAGUACCUUACAGGGUACAAUAUUUUUUUGUUUUAUUUAAUUACUUACGAACUUUAAGUUUGAAAUGAUGAUUGUAAGAAAAUAUCUGUUAUUGCUAAUGUCCUUACUACGAGCUGAUAAUUUACACGAUAGUUACUAAUUAUUAUCAAUUAUAUCGAUUUUUUAUUCGAAAAUA